CUUAUACUCCCUCCGUCCAGAAAUACUUGUCAUCAAAAUGGAUAAAAUGGGAUGGAUCUAGACAUAUUUUAGUUCUAGAUACAUCUCAUUUUAUCUAUUUUGAUGAUAAGUAUUUUCAGCGGAGGGAGCAUGUU
rfam:Triticum aestivum genome assembly, contig: Triticum_aestivum_CS42_TGACv1_scaffold_406963_5BL